rnacentral:rRNA from 1 species
UGCAGAGGUCUCAAGCGUUGUUCGGAUUCACUGGGCGUAAAGGGUGCGUAGGCGGCGCGGUAAGUCGGGUGUGAAAUCUCGGGGCUUAACUCCGAAACUGCAUUCGAUACUGCCGUGCUUGAGGACUGGAGAGGAGACUGGAAUUUCCGGUGGAGCGGUGAAAUGCGUAGAGAUCGGAAAGAACACCAACGGCGAAAGCACUCUGCUGGGCCGACACUGACACUGAGAGACGAAAGCUAGGGGAGCGAAUGGG